GAAGCUAUUAAAGGAAAUUUUUUUUUGUGGUUUUCUUUUAAGAUGUAUAUGACACCUACUCUAAAUGGUUUUGUUUUGAGUGCAAUGCUCUUAUUUCUUCCUCUCAAGCACAUGCACGCCAGCCUCCAAAUUACCUUCUCUCUAUUUGUUUUUCUUUUAGCACUAAAGUAUGAAGCUUAUGAAAAAAAAAACUUUUCAGUAAUUGUUCUUUGGUAAAGAUAUACUAUUUGGUGGAGGGGAAGGUAUAUCAUUCACUCUAGCGUAGUCUAAGUUAAUGCAGUCAGACACAAAUAUAGAAGGUAAUGUAAUGUUAUUCAAUCGACAUAUCUUUAUACAUUAAGUUGUGUGUGCAUGAGUAUAACUCAUGUUUCCUAAUUCAACUAUUUGUAAAUUUAAUAUAGACAAAAAAUGACCUCAAUACGCUAAAAAAAUGCGUACAUGAUUAAGUUCGAGCUGAAUCGACCCUCAGCUAGAGCUCAAAAUCGACAAUAUUUACAACAAAUAAUAUCAACUAGCCAGUUGUUAUCAUUAUUCGAUCAGUUUAACUUCUAAACAUUUCAGCUAAAAUUAACAUAUAUAAUAUACACAAGAAAAUCAUCUCAAUACGUCCAAAAAAAAAAUACGUACAUGAUCGAGCUUGAGCUGAAUCGACCUCAGCUAGAGCUCAAAAUCGACAACAUUUACAACAAAUAAUAACAUCAGCUAGCUAGUUAUUAUUGAUUAUUUGAUCAGUUUAAUUUCUAAAACAUUUUAAGCUAAAAUCAACAUAAUAAACAUGAAAAAUCACCUCAAUACGUUCAAAAAAAGUGUAAGGAAGCAGAAGAUACGUUCAAAGAUCAACUCAAUACUAAGAGACUAUUAUUCCGUAAAUUUAAUGAGAUCUGAAUGGAUAAUUUCUCUAGUUUAAAUAACAAAAGACACGUUCCUCAUUAGGAAACGCAUUGAGCACAAAUGGUUUUACCGCUGGUGGAGCUGCCACAGGUGCUGCCAAAGCAAGUUCAGAUUCUAAAAGCAAAACAUUCAUGGAAGAUCUGACUUUUUUGGGCUUUCUCGCAAGCUUUGCGAGCCACCCAAUCAUAGCAAUCAGAAAGGGUGCAAAGCAAUCCACUUGUCGAUUUAUGUCCAUGUCUACCUUAACUAUGAGAUGCAGAGAACAACCAAUCACCUUGAGAUAGUGCUCAGCAUGCAUUAUCAUCAUGUAUUCAUUCAAACAUUCAGAAGAUCGGCUAAACCACGUCACGGUGGUUGGAAGACUAGAGUCAACGUUAUCCAGUAUAGUUUUGGGUUUCUUUUUAUGUAUUUCAAGGUAUAUCUCAUAUCCCGCACAAUAGAAAGCAACCGCCGACGAGGCUAGUGCAAGCCCACAAUUAGCUAGUCUUGUGGCUCAUCUAGUGGGAUGAUAAUACAUCCCGUAGGCCACUCCUCCCUCGAAUGAAACAUUUAGCAAGUAGCAAAAAUCCAAAAUGUUUUCUUUGGUAGGAUGUUUUAGGGAGAAACGAGUGGAAAUAACGACUGAUGCGAUGAACGUGAAAACAUAAUAAGCUAUAAGAAUAAAAUCCACCAUUUUCUCUUUUGAAGUCCUAUAGUAGUUCUCUAAUUCCCCUCCCCUCCCCUCCCCGGCGUUUUGUUUGGUUCCUUAUCUUCUUGUUUGGAUGUUGAGCUCACUGGUCAUGAGUGUGCAUGGAAGAAGAGAAUAUAGAAUGAAACUAUAGAGUGUGGAAGAAGAGAAUAUGGAAUGAAACUUAGAGUGUGGAAUAAAAGUUGUUACGAGUUGCUGGAAUGGAACGGUGUUGUAUGUGCAAUAAAAGUUGUUAGAGUUGGAUGUAUUUAUUAUCUAAAUUAUUUUACAAAUAGUUGAAUUAGGAACCAUGAGUUAUACUCAUGAACACACAACUUAAUGUAUUAAGAGAUGUCGAUCGAGUAACAUUACAUUACCUGCUAUAUUAAUGCCUAACUGCAUUAACUUAGACUAUGCUAGAGUGAAUGAUAUACCUUCCCCUCCACCAAAUAGUAUAUCUUUACCAAAGAACAAUUACGGAAAAAAAAAAAAAAUUUCCAUAAGCUUCAUACUUCAGUGCUAAAAGAAAAACAAAUAGAGAGAAGGUGAUUUGGAGGCUGGCGUGCAUGUGCUUAAGAUGAAGAAAUAAGAGCAUUGCACUCAAAAGUACAAUAUUUGUCAACCUUCAAGUACUUCUAGAAUUUAUUGAUUUAAAUAAUAUAAUUACGUUAGGUCUCUUACGGCCGCGACUUAUCAUUGCCAUUUAUAAUUAAUAGUAAAUGAUAUAAAAUUAUUUAUAUACACUGUAGGGUAUAGACCGCAAUAAUUAUAAAGUUUGGAGUGUGAACAUCACUGUGGAAUCAGAACUCAUUCAAAUUAAUCUGUGGAAGGCGAAAAGAAACAAUUUUAACUUGCAAACAAACGUUCCACCUUUCAAAUGGUGGUGAUUCAAUUUGACUCUACAAAUAUGGAUGAUCUCCAAACUACUGUAGUUCAAAGGGUAAAACUUGUUUUCCAUAUUCUCUUUUUUUUUUUUCUUUUUUCCCUUUUAGGUAAUUAAAAACUGUUCUUUCAUUUAUAGUGAAGCCCGUAUCUUCGUGAGCAUGCUAAAGACCUUCCGGUAAUCCUACUGGGAACUAAAGUUGAAGUUGAGGGUGAAAAUACCCAAUUCUUUGAGGUAAUUAAUUGGCUCGUUGAUCCAAAUCAGUUUCUCUUAAUUUUCUUAUAUUGAAAUCUUAACUCGGGCUUGGUGAGUAUCGGUUUUGUUAGCUGAUUCAUAAAAGGAGGAGGACUCUUCUCCCACUUGGAGUAGUACUAUAUAUUCAAGUGUCAUUAGAUGUAUAUGAAAGAUGGGC
rnacentral:lncRNA from 1 species